GUGUUGUCACUUCAGCAAUGCAUCUACUAACAUUGGAAUGAUACAGAGAAGAUAAGCAUAUAUGAGAAUGAAACAUAACUUUUUGAAGCAUCCAUAAUUUUU